GCGGGUGUAGCUCAAUGGUAGAGCUCGAGCCUUCCAAGCUCGUGGUGCGGGUUCGAUUCCCGUCACCCGCU
rnacentral:tRNA from 1 species